UUUUAUGUGUUUACUUUAUGCAGGUUCCUUCGUCAAGGACUGCCUUUUUGCAUGAGCAUCCCAAACCCUAACCCUUCAUUGAUUUUUCUUCUCCUAAACACAUAUUUACUCCUUCUACUACAAGUGAGUAAGUCUCCAAUGGUCGAGCAUCCGGUAGAUUGCGUAGUAACGUCGUCCGCCCCCAAAACAUAAUCCUUAACCCCGUAGUUAGCCGAACUACGGCUUGCUCUGUUUCUCAUUCUAGAUGAGAUACGUAGGCAUAAGACGCGAUGUCUUAGUGAGC
rnacentral:lncRNA from 1 species